rnacentral:rRNA from 1 species
GACCUCAAAUCAGGUAGGAUUACCCGCUGAACUUAAGCAUAUCAAUAAGCGGAGGAAAAGAAACUAACAAGGAUUCCCCUAGUAACUGCGAGUGAAGCGGGAAAAGCUCAAAUUUAAAAUCUGGCGGUUUCACCGUCCGAGUUGUAAUCUAGAGAAGUGUUAUCCGUGCUGGACCGUGUACAAGUCUCUUGGAAUAGAGCGUCAUAGAGGGUGAGAAUCCCGUCUUUGCCACGGACUGCCAGUGCAUUGUGAUGCGCUCUCAACGAGUCGAGUUGUUUGGGAAUGCAGCUCAAAACGGGUGGUAAACUCCAUCUAAAGCUAAAUAUUGGCGAGAGACCGAUAGCGAACAAGUACCGUGAGGGAAAGAUGAAAAGAACUUUGGAAAGAGAGUUAAACAGUACGUGAAAUUGUUGAAAGGGAAACGCUUGAAGUCAG